rnacentral:rRNA from 1 species
GACGAACGCUGGCGGCGUGCUUAACACAUGCAAGUCGAACGGAAAGGCCCUGCUUUUGUGGGGUGCUCGAGUGGCGAACGGGUGAGUAACACGUGAGUAACCUGCCCUUGACUUUGGGAUAACUUCAGGAAACUGGGGCUAAUACCGGAUAGGAGCUCCUGCUGCAUGGUGGGGGUUGGAAAGUUUCGGCGGUUGGGGAUGGACUCGCGGCUUAUCAGCUUGUUGGUGGGGUAGUGGCUUACCAAGGCUUUGACGGGUAGCCGGCCUGAGAGGGUGACCGGCCACAUUGGGACUGAGAUACGGCCCAGACUCCUACGGGAGGCAGCAGUGGGGAAUAGUGCACAAUGGGCGGAAGCCUGAUGCAGCAACGCCGCGUGCGGGAUGACGGCCUUCGGGUUGUAAACCGCUUUCGCAUGUGACGAAGCGUGAGUGACGGUAAUGGGUAAAGAAGCACCGGCUAACUACGUG